ACUGGACGGACCACUACGGGGGCCACUGGACGGACCACUACGGGGGCCACUGGACGGACCACUACGGGGGCCACUGGACGGGCCACGUGUGCUCCCACUGCAUCAACAUGUGGCACUCCACCGCAGAUCCCUCCAGUAGGCUGAGAAGAAGCUCCAGAGCCUGGCCCCGGAGAUGGAGGGGCAGCGGCGGGCCAGGAAGCCCUCCGGCUCUGAGACGUGUGGCGCCACAACCAACAACUCCGCGUGCAGGGCGGGCUUAGAGAAAGGCUUUACACAGACCCUGGAUAAUGCUCCUGCCUGAGCACCUCACCCAAGAACUGUCCAAGAUGCCUCACGUCCAAGAAGUCCCAGGUUUACAAGUGGAAGGGCCUGCUCAAGGAACUCCGCUGCUCUCUCCUGGACGGAAGGAACCAGGAGAUGGAGAGGAGAUGAAGAAGAAGAGAAAGAAGACUUGGGAACAAAGAACCCCAACAAAAGAUGAAGAAGAAAGAGAAGAAGAAGAAGGAGGAAGUGAAGAAGAGAAGUUUCUUUCAAUAAUAAUAAUAAAAUAUAUAUUGAAAGAA